UUAAAAAGAAGAAGAAGGGAUUUAGGGUUACUUGGGUGGCGCAUCAGCUUCUUCUCCCUUCCUUAAUUCAGACGGCGGCGAGGAUGGAGAACUCAUCUUCUCCGGCGAACUCAAGGCCGUUCUCCGCCUCACACUCUCCCUCUCCGUUCGGUUAUCUCUUCUCACUUCCGUUUUGAUACUCGACUCAAAUCUCCUUUCCGAACGUCGCAUCUUCGCCGCCAUAACCAUCACUUCCUCCUUUCUCUGUUCAACUCUCAAGCGGCAUCUCACUCCACUCUCUAACGAACUCGUGUCCCUCAUUUCUCUCGUUAAUUUCUCCGAUUCCAAACCUGCCAGAAAUAUGCUCCGACGACUCUUUGUGGUUGGUCAGUGAUGUUAAGAAAGCCAGAGGAACUCUUCACGAAACGUGGAGCGUGGUGGAGAUCGGUGAUUUGGUGAAUUGAAGAUUGAGAGGUUGUGAAUCGAUUCAGAGAGAAAAGAUUGGAGAGAAUCCGAGAGUUUGUUACAGGUUCUUCCAAACUGGUUCUCUGAUUCCUCUUGUUGGUUGAAGAAUGAAGAAUAGAAGGAGAAAGAUGGUUGAAGCAGUGAAGGUGAAAGAAAAUGGUGGAGAAGUGUUAUGAUUGAAGGUGGGAGAGGAAGGUUAUGGUGAUGGAGUGGAGAAUGGAGAGAGCAUUGGUGUGUGUUAUGGUGUUGAAUAUGGAUGAUUGAAGGUGGAAGAAGAAUGGCUUCUGAAUUCAGAGAGUGAGAGGAUGAUGAGAGAUGGAGAUGGUGAUGGAAGCAAUGAUGGUGGUCGAGUUAUAUAGAGAGAUGGAGAGCAGAAGAUUGAGAGUCUGAGCUUCAAGCAUAGUCAUGAUGGGAGUCUAAAGCAACAUUGGGGCAGCAAGGGAUUCAUAGAUGAUUGAAGUGGAAGCAUGAAGAGACUUGGGAGUUUCAUAGAGGUAUUUUGGCAAAUGACAGAUAUGAAGCGAACUUGGUUGAAUAUGAUGGGUCUAGUCAUAGUUGGCCAAUGAUCAACUGCAUUUUUUUUGUAAUUUUAAAUGACUUUGUAUGAAGUGUAAUGAAAUAAUAAAUUUAUGGAAGUGCAAUGUAAUUGGCUUUGUAAUUUGCCCCCUUUGUAAUAAUUCUCUUUCAUUUCAAACUUUGAAAUUUCUUUUGCAUUUGCUUUUAAUUUUGGAAUUCUUGAAAGGAGGCUUUGAUUGUAGCUUGAAGGACCUCUUCUUAACCAUGUUCAAAUGUUUUUAAAUGAAUGAGUGUGUUUGAAUUCCCUUACAUUUGAAACGUAACUUUCCCCUAUAUGCUUCAUAUUCAAACUCCUAAUGCAUUCUCCAUUCAUACCUUUAAUCUCAAAAAAGCCUCAAGAGUGACUUUGAUCAAGAGUCAACAUUCUUUGGUUGAUUUUGACCGAAAGUCAAAGUUUUGACAUAGUUUCCUCCAAUCUUGCAACAAUUCCCCAAUUACACUAUAUAUGUCCAAAUUCUUGCAUGAACCCCAAUGUCAAUGACUUGUAGUUCCACUAAUGAGCAGUAUCCUUUGAAUCACCACAAAAAAUAGGGAAAUAAAACCCUUAAUCAUUGAAUUUAUUGUAUAUGGAUGAAGAAUAACUUUGAAGCUUGAUGAAGAGGAAAUCCACAAUA